CAGUUUCCGAAAUCAAUGACGAUGUAGCAACACAAACAAGAAGUGAAAAAAUGACCGUAAAACUGAUUGUCACUCUUAAAUGCCUAAAUAAUCAUUUUUCCCGUCAAUUCACACUACUUAAUGUUGAACUAAAAAGCAUUAAGUAUUUAAAGAAAUGAAACGAAACGAAAUACAAUUCAAGCUUCUAUUAACUCAAGGGACUCAUGGAACGUUACAUUUCCCUAUAGUGAUCGUCGGCGUAUUCAUUUACACUUACCGAUGUACCGUGGGAUAUACACAUGUGAUUAGCUGAAAAACCCUCAAUAGGUAAAUAAACAAUGAUUAAAUAGUUUUUGUUUUCUCUUAGUGAAAAAUUAAGUAGACAGUAAUGACCAUGAGUCCUAUGACUUUUUAAAGGCCUAAGGUGAUCGAUGGAAAUGCAAAAUCUGUUCUUUGCAUAAAACAAAAUCACUAGCUCCGAGUGUAAUGAAGUGUGACAAUGUUUGACCAAUUUGCCCAUUCCAUAUCAAUCCAUCCUCUCGUUAUGCCUCGUGAGGAAACGGUCAGUCGAUUGUUAAAUUGUUCAUCAAAAUUUGCUAGAUAUGCUAAACAUAGCAAAUCAAACGAAACUAUGAAGCUAAAAAAGUCUUUGUUUUGGCCAUGUGGAAAUGGAACGGCUACAUGGAAAUCUUCAUGACCCACUUAACGACACUAUACGCUCUAGACAAUAACAACUUGCCGACAAGAAACCGAGUUUGUUUACUCUGGGUGUUGCACAACAACCCGCUAUGGGUAUUCCAGCUAAAUCCUAGUAUUCUCUCGGGAUUGACAAGAAACGCCAAGUCUGCGAAGAGUAGCGUUAUGAUUCACUGACUCGACAUAUGACACAGCAAACUCCUUAUCAUCAGUACUGUUAGUGUAUCUACUAUU